GAGGGUAUAGCUCAAGUGGUAGAGUGCAUGCUUAGCAUGCAUGAGGUGUCCUGGGUUCAAUCCCCUGUACCUCUU
rnacentral:tRNA from 1 species